AAAUUGAAGAGUUUGAUCAUGGCUCAGAUUGAACGCUGGCGGCAGGCCUAACACAUGCAAGUCGAACGGUAACAGGAAGCAGCUUGCUGCUUUGCUGACGAGUGGCGGACGGGUGAGUAAUGUCUGGGAAACUGCCUGAUGGAGGGGAUAACUACUGGAAACGGUGGCUAAUACCGCAUAACGUCGCAAGACCAAAGAGGGGGACCUUCGGGCCUCUUGCCAUCAGAUGUGCCCAGAUGGGAUUAGCUGGUAGGUGGGGUAACGGCUCACCUAGGCGACGAUCCCUAGCUGGUCUGAGAGGAUGACCAGCCACACUGGAACUGAGACACGGUCCAGACUCCUACGGGAGGCAGCAGUGGGGAAUAUUGCACAAUGGGCGCAAGCCUGAUGCAGCCAUGCCGCGUGUAUGAAGAAGGCCUUCGGGUUGUAAAGUACUUUCAGCGGGGAGGAAGGUGUUGUGGUUAAUAACCGCAGCAAUUGACGUUACCCGCAGAAGAAGCACCGGCUAACUCCGUGCCAGCAGCCGCGGUAAUACGGAGGGUGCAAGCGUUAAUCGGAAUUACUGGGCGUAAAGCGCACGCAGGCGGUCUGUCAAGUCGGAUGUGAAAUCCCGGGCUCAACCUGGGAACUGCAUUCGAAACUGGCAGGCUUGAGUCUUGUAGAGGGGGGUAGAAUUCCAGGUGUAGCGGUGAAAUGCGUAGAGAUCUGGAGGAAUACCGGUGGCGAAGGCGGCCCCCUGGACAAAGACUGACGCUCAGGUGCGAAAGCGUGGGGAGCAAACAGGAUUAGAUACCCUGGUAGUCCACGCCGUAAACGAUGUCUACUUGGAGGCUGUGCCCUUGAGGCGUGGCUUCCGGAGCUAACGCGUUAAGUAGACCGCCUGGGGAGUACGGCCGCAAGGUUAAAACUCAAAUGAAUUGACGGGGGCCCGCACAAGCGGUGGAGCAUGUGGUUUAAUUCGAUGCAACGCGAAGAACCUUACCUGGUCUUGACAUCCACAGAAUCCUGUAGAGAUACGGGAGUGCCUUCGGGAACUGUGAGACAGGUGCUGCAUGGCUGUCGUCAGCUCGUGUUGUGAAAUGUUGGGUUAAGUCCCGCAACGAGCGCAACCCUUAUCCUUUGUUGCCAGCGGUCCGGCCGGGAACUCAAAGGAGACUGCCAGUGAUAAACUGGAGGAAGGUGGGGAUGACGUCAAGUCAUCAUGGCCCUUACGACCAGGGCUACACACGUGCUACAAUGGCAUAUACAAAGAGAAGCGACCUCGCGAGAGCAAGCGGACCUCAUAAAGUAUGUCGUAGUCCGGAUUGGAGUCUGCAACUCGACUCCAUGAAGUCGGAAUCGCUAGUAAUCGUGGAUCAGAAUGCCACGGUGAAUACGUUCCCGGGCCUUGUACACACCGCCCGUCACACCAUGGGAGUGGGUUGCAAAAGAAGUAGGUAGCUUAACCUUCGGGAGGGCGCUUACCACUUUGUGAUUCAUGACUGGGGUGAAGUCGUAACAAGGUAACCGUAGGGGAACCUGCGGUUGGAUCACCUCCUUACCUGAAAGAA
rnacentral:rRNA from 1 species